GACGAACGCUGGCGGCGUGCUUAACACAUGCAAGUCGAACGGAAAGGCCCCUUUGGGGGUCCUCGAGUGGCGCACGGGUGAGUAAGACGUGAGUAACCUGCCCUUGACUUCGGGCUAACUUCAGGAAACUGGGGCUAAUACCGGAUAGGAAUCCUUGCUGCAUGGUGGGGGUUGGAAAGCUUCGGCGGAUUUGGCUGGACUCGCGGAUUAUCAGCUUGUUGGUGGGGUAGUGGCUUACCAAGGCGUUGACGGGUAGCCGGCCUGAGAGGGGGACCGGGCACAAUGGGACUGAGAGACGGACCAGACGCGUACGGUAGGCAGCAGUGGGGAAUAUUGCACAAUGGGCGGAAGCGUGAGGCAACAACGCCGCGUGCGUGAUGACGGGUUUCGGGUGGUAAACCGCUUUCAGCAGGGGCGAAGCUUGUGGUGACGGUACCUGCAGAAGAAGCACCGGCUAACUACGUG
rnacentral:rRNA from 1 species